rnacentral:lncRNA from 1 species
AGUCGAGGAGCCUACCUCAGUGGUUCAAUAGUUAUAUCCCUUUGUCUGCUCCUUGGGUCCAGAUCCUAAUGGAGAUCGAAGGUCAGAAAUAUCUUUGACGGUCUAAACCAAUAAAGGCUCCUUCAAACAGAAGGAUCAAGAGAAAGUAUUGCCGCUUCCAUCAUAACCACGAUCACGAUAUCGAAGAAUUCCACCAACUCAAGGAUA